ACGAACGCUGGCGGCGUGCCUAAUACAUGCCAGUAGAACGCUGAAGAGAGGAGCUUGCUCUUCUUGGAUGAGUUGCGAACGGGUGAGUAACGCGUAGGUAACCUGCCUUGUAGCGGGGGAUAACUAUUGGAAACGAUAGCUAAUCCCGCAUAACAAUGGAUGACACAUGUCAUUUAUUUGAAAGGGGCAAUUGCUCCACUACAAGAUGGACCUGCGUUGUAUUAGCUAGUAGGUGAGGUAAUGGCUCACCUAGGCGACGAUACAUAGCCGACCUGAGAGGGUGAUCGGCCACACUGGGACUGAGACACGGCCCAGACUCCUACGGGAGGCAGCAGUAGGGAAUCGUCGGCAAUGGGGGCAACCCUGACCGAGCAACGCCGCGUGAGUGAAGAAGGUUGUCGGAUCGUAAAGCUCUGUUGUAAGUCAAGAACGGGUGUGAGAGUGGAAAGUUCACACUGUGACGGUAGCUUACCAGAAAGGGACGGCUAACUACGUG
rnacentral:rRNA from 1 species